GCCUGGGUAGCUCAGUCGGUUGAGCAUCUAACUUCAGCUCAGGUCAUGAUCUCACAUCUCGUGAGUUCGAGCCCCACAUCAGACU
rfam:Felis catus isolate Cinnamon breed Abyssinian chromosome B3, whole genome shotgun sequence.